CAACGAGUCGCAAGACCGCGAGGUUUAGCAAAUCUCUUAAAGCCGUUCUCAGUUCGGAUUGUAGGCUGCAACUCGCCUACAUGAAGUCGGAAUCGCUAGUAAUCGCGGAUCAGCAUGCCGCGGUGAAUACGUUCCCGGGCCUUGUACACACCGCCCGUCACACCAUGAGAGUUUGUAACACCCAAAGCCGGUGGGGUAACCUUUUGGAGCCAGCCGUCUAAGGUGGGACAGAUGAUUAGGGUGAAGUCGUAACAAGGUACC
rnacentral:rRNA from 1 species